UACUAUGGAGAGUUUGAUCCUGGCUCAGGAUGAACGCUAGCGGCAGGCCUAAUACAUGCAAGACGAACGGUAA
rnacentral:rRNA from 1 species